CCUACGGGAGGCAGCAGUGGGGGAUAUUGGACAAUGGGGGGAACCCUGAUCCAGCGACGCCGCGUGAGUGAAGAAGGAUCUCGGUAUGUAAAGCUCUAUUAGUAGGGAAGAAGAAAUGACGGUACCUGAGUAAGAAGCUCCGCCUAACUACGUGCCAGCAGCCGCGGUAAUACGUAGGGGGCAGGCGUUAUCCGGAAUUACUGGGUGUAAAGGGAGCGUAGACGGUGAUGUAAGGCUGGAGUGAAAGGCUGGGGCCCAACCCCCGGACUGCAGUGGAAACUAUAAGACUGGAGUGCAGGAGAGGUGAGCGGAAUUCCUAGUGUAGCGGUGAAAUGCGUAGAUAUAAGGAGGAACACCAGUGGCGAAGGCGGCUCACUGGACUGUAACUGACGUUGAGGCUCGAAAGCGUGGGGAUCAAACAGGAUUAGAUACCCCAGUAGUC
rnacentral:rRNA from 1 species